AACAAACGCUGGCGGCGUGCCUAAUACAUGCAAGUCGAACGGGGAAAGCUUUCGGGUGAGUACUAGUGGCGCACGGGUGAGGAACGCGUGGAUAAUCUGCCUUAGAGUGGGGGAUAACUAGUCGAAAGAUUAGCUAAUACCGCAUAAGACCACAAGAUCUGCGGAUCAAGGGGUCAAAGGUUUUUCGCUCUAAGAUGAGUCCGCGUAAGAUUAGCUAGUUGGUGAGGUAACGGCUCACCAAGGCGACGAUCUUUAACUGGUCUGAGAGGAUGAUCAGUCACACUGGAACUGAGACACGGUCCAGACUCCUACGGGAGGCAGCAGUAGGGAAUAUUGCACAAUGGAGGAAACUCUGAUGCAGCGACGCCGCGUGAGUGAUGAAGGCCUUCGGGUCGUAAAGCUCUGUCGCAGGGGAAUAACACAAUGAAGGUACCCUGUAAGAAAGGAUCGGCUAACUUCGUGCCAGCCGCCGCAGUAAAAC
rnacentral:rRNA from 1 species